GGUUAAUGACAUGCUUCGCUGUCACAUCACAUGACUCAAAGAGAGGUUAUAAAACAGUGAAUUUUAGUGAUGCAUGACUUCAUUUACCUUUACCAUGGGACUUACUGCUUAACCCAUGAAUUUGAUAUUACACUCGACUCCAUCAUUUCUUAAAGCAAUCAGACCAAUCGGCUAUCAAGAUGUGGAGAACAGUAUUGAUGACCACCGUUUUUAUGUUAACUGGUUAGUUCAUGUCUUUUCACAUUUAUAUUGAGAGUGUCAUAUUGUUUAUCCCUUUGUUUUUUUUACUCACUCACAAUCUGUGCACUUGUUCUAAUGUUUGAUUGAUCAUUUUUAACAGCACAUACUGCAAUCAGAGCUCACUCAACAGCAAUGACUGAUGUUACAGCAGCUACAGACUCAACAAAUGACAUCGCAACAGAUUCAGUUAUUCGUGUUACAAAUGAUUCUACAGCAGAUACAACUGAUGGACUUGCCACAGAAAUAUCCAUGGAAACAAUUACAAGCAGCACUGUGGAAUCUAGAACCGGAUUAUCAGAUGAAUCAACCAACGGUGACCUGACAGAAAUGACAACAAUAGAAGAAUUUUCAACAUCUUUGCCGGAUGACCCUACCACUGAUACUACAGAUCCGUCAAUCAACACACCAAAAUUUACGGCAGGAACUAUAGCAUUUACUGAUGAAUUACCAAUUGGUUUCACUGAUGACUCAGCCACAAAUGUUACAGAUGAAUCAACAACAGCCUUUGCAACUGAUUCAUCAGAGGAAGAUUCAACAGAGGAAACGGAACUAUCAACUGUAGGAUUUACUGAUCAAUCAACUACAACACAACCAAACACAAGAGCUAUAGCUGAAUCCACCUUAGAAGAAAUAACUGUAAAUGUCACUGAUGAUACUACUGAUGAAGAAUUGACAACAGCUUUCACAUCAGACAUUUCUACGAAUGAUUCAUCAGAGGAAGAUUCGACAGAGGAAACGGAACUAACAACUGUAGGAUUUACUGAUCAAUCAACUACAACACAACCAAACACAAGAGCUAUAGCUGAAUCCACCUUAGAAGAAAUAACUGUAAAUGUCACUGAUGAUACUACUGAUGAAGAAUUGACAACAGCUUUCACAUCAGACAUUUCUACAAAUGAUUCAUCAGAGGAAGAUUCAACAGAGGAAACUGAACCGUCAACUACAGGAGUUACUGAUCAACCAACUACAACACAAUCAACAACAAAACCUAUAGCUGGAUCCACCUUAGAAGAUAUAACUGUAAAUGUCACUGAUGAUACUACUGAUGAAGAACUGACAACCACAUUCACAUCAGAAAUAUCUACAAGUGUCUCAAACAAACCAACACCAUUUACAAAUGAUUCAUCAGAGGAAGAUUCAACAGAGGAAACCGAACCGUCAACUACAGAGGUUACUGAUAAUCCAAUUACAAGUAUAAAACCUCAUUCAACCACAAGAAUUACAGCUGAAUCCACCUUAGAAGAAAUAACUUUAAAUGUCACAAAUGAUACUACUGAUGAAGAAUUGACAACAGCAUUCACAUCAGACAUAUCUACAAGUGUCUCCAACAAACCAACGCCAUUUACAAAUGAUUCAUCAGAGGAAGAUUCAACAGAGGAAACCGAACCGUCAACUACAGAGGUUACUGAUAAUCCAAUUACAAGUAUAAAACCUCAUUCAACCACAAGAAUUACAGCUGAAUCCACCUUAGAAGAAAUAACUUUAAAUGUCACUAAUGAUACUACUGAUGAAGAAUUGACAACAGCAUUCACAUCAGACAUAUCUACAAGUGUCUCCAACAAACCAACGCCAUUUACAAAUGAUUCAUCAGAGGAAGAUUCAACAGAGGAAACUGAACCGUCAACUACAGGAGUUACUGAUCAAUCAACUACAAGUACAAAACCACAAUCAACCACAAGAAUUACAUCUGGAAUCACCGCAGAAGAAACAACAAUAGACUUUACUGAUGUACUAACUACUGAAAAUGCAUUGGGAUCCGCAACAACAUUCACACCUGAUGUAUCUACAGGUGUCACAAACAAAUCAACACCAUUUAUAACAGAUUCAACAAAAGAAGUUUUAACAGAGGAAACUGAACUGUCAACUGUAGAAUUUACUGAUCAAUCAACUACAACCUCAACACCUCAGUCAACCACAGGAAUUACAGCUGGAGCCACCAUAAAAGAAACUAUUGUCUUCACUGAUGUACUAACCACUAAAAAGGCACUGGAAUCCACAACAACAUUCACAUCAGGAAUAUCUAAAAGUGUCACAUCUGAGAAUGAUCUGAGAACUGCAGAGACUGAAUUGACAACUAUAGGAAUUACUAAUCAAUCAACUACACUCUUUACACCAGAAUCAACCACGGGAGCCCAAUCAUUCACUAAGAUUCCUGAUUUAUCGACUACUGAUUCUACAGAGGAAUACACAACAGGAAUAUCACAAGAAAUUACAACUAAAGGAAUUGCUGGUCAGUCAGCUUCAGCCAUCACAACAUCUAAAUCAACAGCUAUAGAUACAUCAACCAUGGAUAGUGCAGCAACACAACCUGAGGUUACCACAUCAAGAACUACAGCAAUUACAGAAGAAUCAGUGACUUCAGGGGAUAAUACAAUGGCUACCACUGAGGGCUCCACCAUGCUUAUAAGUGGAACCACUAUCUCACAUGAAAGUCCUCUUUUCUCGCCACAAUCUACAGCACAACCACUAACAGUUGUAGUGGAACUCACCACUAAACCUACACUUGACACAACUGCAACUGAAUCUUCAACACCACCCCAGGAGACAAAGAGUAUGCCGACUACAGCCUUCACAAAUAACCAGCAUGUCAUUACUUCACAACACACACAAACUACAGACCAAUCUAUAACAAAUAUCCAAUCAACAAUGAGUACAUUGCAGAUUGAAACAGGUACAGCCCAGCCUACUUUCUCAACAACUUUCCAGACCAUAUUUGCUUCUCAACCAAAUCCAUCUGCAGUCCAACCUAAAACUAAUGCCCAGUCCACAACUACUACACCACAACUUGCAACAGCUACAACCCAGCCUAUAUUCUCAACUGCCCAGCCUACACAUACAGCCCAGACCGUUACUUCACAAUCUACACAGACUGAAAUCCAACCUAUAACUAAUGCCCAAUCCACAAUUACUACACCACAACUUGCAAAAGUUACAACCCAGCCUAUAUUCUCAACAACUGCCCAACCUACCCUAUAUUCUCAACAGCUGCCCAGCCUACACAUACAGCCCAGACUGUUACUUCACAAUCUACUCAAACUGAAAUCCAACCUAUAA
rnacentral:lncRNA from 1 species